rnacentral:rRNA from 1 species
CGUAUGGAACCUACCUAUAACUUGGGAAUAGCCCGGAGAAAUCCGGAUUAAUGUCCAAUGAAACUGAGAGAAGGCAUCUUCUUAUUGUUAAAGAUUUAUCGGUUAUAGAAGGGCAUGCGGUCGAUUAGCUAGUUGGUGAGGUAAUGGCUCACCAAGGCGACGAUCGAUAGGGGACCUGAGAGGGUGAUCCCCCACACUGGUACUGAGAUACGGACCAGACUCCUACGGGAGGCAGCAGUAGGGAAUAUUGGGCAAUGGACGCAAGUCUGACCCGGCCAUGCCGCGUGAAGGAAGAAGGCCUUCUGGGUUGUAAACUUCUUUUGAACGGGAACAAAGAGUCCAUGCGUGGACAGUUGAGUGUACCGUUAGAAUAAGCACCGGCUAACUCCGUGCCAGCAGCCGCGGUAAUACGGAGGGUGCAAGCGUUGUCCGGAUUUAUUGGGUUUAAAGGGUGCGUAGGCGGUCUUUUAAGUCAGUGGUGAAAUCCUCCAGCUCAACUGGAGAACUGCCAUUGAUACUGGAAGACUUGAGUAUAGUUGAGGUAGGCGGAAUUGACAGUGUAGCGGUGAAAUGCAUAGAUAUUGUCAAGAACACCGAUUGC